GGCAUGCCUGCUACAGCGCGAUGGCGGGAGCUUCAUGGGCUUUGAGGUCCCGACCGGGCCUGUUGUCCCAUGAGCCUAGUAUGCUCCUGCUAUUGCGUCCGGUCGGCGACAGACGUUGGCGGUGGAGGUUGAGCCCUCCAACAUGCUGACGGUGCUGCUACCCGUAGUGUUCCGGCUCCUUUUCAUCGCUCUGCAGGCCUCACCUCGCGGUGCGGUGGUGAGACGGCAUGGGGGCUUCAAGACCGUGUUGGCGUAGGGUGGAGGUUGGUUUGGUGGCAGGCUCCAGAGCGCCCAAUGUGUAGGUUGAGAUCGGGGGAAACACUUGUCGGCUUGGCCGACAUCGACGCGAUGGCAUUGGUGGGUGCCGUCGAACCUUCCUGGAGGGCGUCGGGGGCUACCCGUCCUCGCGCCUCAUCAGAAACCGUUGGCAGCAGCGUCAUCAUCAUCGCGGCCCUUCUUGGAGGUGCUGAUUGGUAUUGGCGCCUUCAGAGUCUUGGGGCUUGGUGGGAGAUCCCUGGUGGGCGCAACGGUCGCGAGGCUUCUUCGUUUUUGUCGAUCUGCCGGUGUCACUAUUUGUUUCUUUUCUAUUUUCUUUUUCUUUUCUUUUGGGCGUGAAUGUGCUGCUUCCGUCCCAUCACCUAUCGUCGGCUAUACCGGUUGGUUGCUUUGUAAUACAAAGCGGGGGGAAACCCUCUUUCGUGAAAGAGCUUAGAGAUGCAUUGAUUGCAUACAGUGUGAGAAACAUAGGUAAGAUUAAAAAGGAAGAAAUGAGGCAAAGAAGUUGAAUGCAUCUUGCUCUGCUGGAUGCCCCUGCCUUUUGAAGGCAUCCAAGGACAAUAGAACAUGAAGCAUUGUAAUUAAGAGAUACAGUGGCACAGUUCAAAAAAAAAAAGAUACAGUGGCAAUCACACAUGUCAGAAAUCUUGGGAUGCAAAGUGUUUGCCAGUUAAAUUUCUUACCAGAAAGUUCAUUGACGAGUUCAGAGAGAACCAAAAGAUGGACUUGGUCACCUUUGGAAACAAAGUUCAGAGAGAAUUCAAGAUCAGACCUCACAAAAUUCUCUCUGAAGUAGAAUCAACAUUCUCCUGGGAGUGGUUUCUCACUACAUUAAAGCAUGACUUGAACACAGCGAACACCUUCCCAUUCACUAUAAUGAGUGACAAACAAAAGAGAUUAAUAGAUGCUGUUGGAAAGGUGUUUCCAGACUCGGAACACAGAUUUUGUGUUAGGCAUUUAUAUUAAAACUUUCAUAUGCAUUCCAAAGGAGACAUAUUGAAAAAUCAUUUAUGGGUAACUGCACGAUCAACAAAUGUCACAAAGUGGAGGCUGAACAGAGAAGCAAUGAGAGAGGACCGCCCUAGUGCUGUUGCUUGGUUGGAGAAUAAACCUGAAAACCAAUUGGUGAAAGUAUUCUUUAGUGAUUUCCUCAAAUGUGAUAUCCUGUUGAACAAUAUGUCAGAAGUGUGCAACGGGUAUAAAUUGCAGUGUAUUGUAAUUUUCUAUUGAUUAGCAUUGUAUUAUGAUGUCAUUGAUCAUUUAUCUGCAACGCAUUGCAGCUACAUACUGGAAGCAAGAGAGUUCCCUGUGAUUUCGAUUAUGGAAUGUAAAAAUGGUAAGAUUACUGCUAGACAUGAGAGGAAACAGACAGAAGAAGUAAACAAAUGGACUGGUAGGAUAUGCCCAAAAAUCAGGAAAAAAAUUAGAGAAGGAGAUAGAGUUGUCUUCAAGUUGUUUUCCUAGCCACUCUGGUUUGGGUGUAUAUUCUAUGAUAUCUGGAAACUUUACAUACCACGUGGAUGUUCCAGCAAAGACAUGUGAUUGCAGAAGAUGGCAACUUAGUGGCAUACCAUGUAGCCACUCUAUUGCAUGCUUUAGGGAAGAAAGGAUAUAUCCAGAAGAAAUGGUUCAUAAGUGCUACACAAUAGAGACAUACCUACUAGCAUUUGGGCACAAUAUAAUGCCUAUGAGAGACAAGGUUCACUGGGAGCAAGUUAAUGGAACUGUCGUUCAUCCACCAGUUUACAAGAAAAAGAUGGGAAGGCCACCAAA